rnacentral:rRNA from 1 species
UACGAAGGGGGCUAGCGUUGUUCGGAAUUACUGGGCGUAAAGCGCACGUAGGCGGAUCGAUCAGUCAGGGGUGAAAUCCCAGAGCUCAACUCUGGAACUGCCUUUGAUACUGUCGAUCUAGAGUAUGGAAGAGGUGAGUGGAAUUCCGAGUGUAGAGGUGAAAUUCGUAGAUAUUCGGAGGAACACCAGUGGCGAAGGCGGCGACCUGGUCCGAUACUGACGCUGAGGCGCGAAAGCGUGGGGAGCAAACAGG